rnacentral:rRNA from 1 species
AAUGAACGUUGGCGGCGUGGAUUAGGCAUGCAAGUCGAGCGGGUGUAGUAAUACAUCAGCGGCGAAAGGGAGAGUAACGCGUAGUUACGUGCCCCGAGGUCCAGAAUAGCUACGGGAAACUGUAGGUAAUGCUGGAUGAUAUCUCCGGAUCAAAGGUGUGAUUCCGCCUCGGGAGCGGACUGCGUCCUACUAGCUAGUUGGCGGGGUAAUGGCCCACCAAGGCGACGAUGGGUAGCGGGUGUGAGAGCAUGACCCGUCUCACUGGACUGAGACACUGCCCAGACGCCUACGGGUGGCUGCAGUCGAGAAUCUUCGGCAAUGAGCGCAAGCUUGACCGAGCGACGCCGCGUGCGGGAUGAAGGCCUUCGGGUUGUAAACCGCUUUCGGUAGGGAGGAAAUCGCUAGGGGUUCUCCCCUAGUGUUGACCUAUCUUCGGAAGAAGGACGGGCUAAGUUCGUGCCAGCAGCCGCUGUAAUAC